rnacentral:snRNA from 1 species
AUCGCUUCUCGGCCUUUUGGCUAAGAUCAAGUGUAGUAAGUGGUACUACUUGGUUAAAAAGAAUUAGAGUGUGAUUCUGUAUUGCAGAGAAAAAUCUUAAAAUUAAUAUUUGGUUGUCUGUAAUGUACUUUUU